CCAUAUAUAUAUAUAUAUGAGUCAAGCCCCAAAUCCAUUUUCAAGCCCACUUCUUGUUACCAAGCCCAUUAAGCCUCCUUUAAUCUAUCUAAACCCUAGCUCACAAGUUCACAACCACAUUUUAUCGUCUGUUCUCUCACUCACACUACCGUUGCCGCAAAACAACCUUUUUUCCAAACACUCCCACAAUCCCACGUAGCAAAGUUGCAACACAAAUCAGAAAAAGGAAGCCAUCGAUCGGCGAUCGCUGCAAAAUAUUACUCCUUUCAGUUGGGAAUAGAGGCCUGUAAUAUUCAAGUUGUGCACUCAAAUCUCACCGUCCCUAAACUAGGCCUUCAACAUCGGCAUCCCCAAGAACUAGGGCAAGCAGGAGUCAACCCCAGCAGCGAAGAGUAUCUGAUGGUUAAACAGAGGAAAAGAUCAGUUGAAGAACCAUUGAGAGUGGAGUUUUAUCUGCGCCAACUACUGGUCCUUUGCUACCUACUGAACACUGAUAUAUAUUUUACCCUAAUUUGUAAUGUUCCUUUUUUUUUCUAUCUCAUAAAAUCUGUUAGUUAAUUUUUUUUUUUUUUUCCUUCUAUUAUUCUUGUCUCUCUCAAUUUGAUUUUUAUUAAAUUUUCUGGUGUAAAUAUUUUCAUAAAUUAAUCUGUAAAAACUGUCUCUCAAAUUUUUUUUCAA